GGGUGGAGCYUGCGGUUUAAUUGGAUUCAACGCCGGAAAUCUCACCGGGUCCGACAGCAAUAUGAWGGYCAGGMUGAAGACUUUUCYGGAUUAGCUGAGAGGAGGUGCAUGGCCGUYGUCAGUUYGUACUGUGAAGCAUCCUGUUAAGUCAGGCAACGAGCGAGACCCACGCCCACAGUUGCCAGCGUACUCUCCGGAGUGACGGGUACACUGUGGGGACCGCCUCUGCUAAAGCGGAGGAAGGAAUGGGCAACGGUAGGUCAGUAUGCCCCGAAUAUUCCGGGCUACACGCGGGCUACAAUGGUUGGGACAAUGGGUAUCUACCCCG
rnacentral:rRNA from 1 species